GGACGGUUUUGGGCCAAGAGCGAGAAAGAACAGGGGGAGUUGGAGGCUGGGGCCGAGGCCGGGAAAUCGGAGGGAGCUUUCUUGUCAUCUUCAAAUGACUAAGUACUCGCCAGUCCAGAGGACUCAAAAUGAGUAAGUGGGAUGUGCCCAGACCUCCUCUGGCAUUUAUGUCACGCCCACCCCUCGCAUCACCUCUCACUGAAUGCCCUUUGUGACACACACGAGCCCCUCCCCCAGGCCUAGGGAGCAGCCAGCAGCCGGGAAAAUGGCCCCAGUGUCUAGGUGGAAGAGUGGUCGUGGAAACAGCAAAGGGAAGAAACGCAGAUGCAAUAUUAGCUCCCUGUUCUUGGGAUCCCAUGUCGUUUUCCCCCCCAAAGUAGGCAAAGGCUGUUCAAAGGGCUAGGGUAGAGACGGGGCGUGGGGCCUUGGAGGACAGUGUUGAGCAGGAAUCGGGGAAUGGGGAAGAGAAGGUGACCCAGUCUCGUUAACUUACCUCGGUUUUCAAAGCGCUUUCACAACAUUCAUGUCGUUGUUUCUAUCAUUGCAUGAAUAUGCGUGAUUAGCAGAGAGAUGCUACGUGCAUUUCACCAGUGAGGACCCUGGGGACCAGAGAGGGCACUGCCACAGACUCGGCCAUUUCUCCGGCACGUUGAGCGUGCGCAUCUGCAGUGCGCCCAUCCAGGAGCAAACUAGACAGACGUGGUCCCUGCCCCGAGGAGCGUACGCAGUGGCGAGGGAGGGAGACACCUGCACUCACGUGGCUGCGCGGAAGGAAGGCAGGCCCAGGCUUCAGACACAUGAGCAUAUUAAAGGCCCAGAAAGCCUGUAAGUGAAGAAAUCUAUGAACUUUCAUCAACCUGAGAUUUCCAAAAUUUACUUGACCAUAGAACUCAUUUACUGAAGUGAUUCUACUAUAGAACCAGAAUUCAAGAAAAUACACUUUAAAAAAAGCAAACUCAUAAAGAGCAAAACUGAAAUCUGGGUUUUGUUUUUCAGCUAUUUACUUGCUACUUAAUAAAGACCCAAACCAAUAACUUCCUAAGCAUUCAGAGUGCAUGCGGCAUGUAUCAUACCACCCUGAGUAGCUGCUGUGGAAGCCCCGAUAAUUGCCCCACGUCCCACCCCGUCAGCUGUCUUGGGCCUCAGCUGCUGUCUGAAGGUUCCCCGUUUCCCCCAGUGGGGACUGGGCCAAUCUGAUCCCUGCUCAGCUCUGCUCAGGAGCAGCACUCUUUAUCUUGGGCCCAUGGAAUCCAGAGUUUAACUCUCAACCCCACACUGCAGGGGGCGUGGCCUCACUGCUUUAGAAAUGGAGAUGGGCACCACCGCAGCCUUGCCAAAUCGUGAUGGCCUUGGCCUUGCCUCAGAGAAGCAAUGGGCUUUUCUACCCAACACUUUACGAAUAUUUU